GCCCUGAACUCCAAGGCAAGGACGAAAACGCUGCCUUUGAGAUUGUUUGCACAUGACAAACUCCCUGUCCAGCCCCCGGCCCGCCCCCCCUGUCCCCACCCCGGGCACCGCACUUGCCCACGGUGCCAGCUCCAAGGAGGGCCAGGGGCCACCGGUGAGGAGAGGGAGGGUGAAACCGCGCGGAAGGAAGGGGGGGACAGAAAAGGACAGCCGGCCUCCGAGGUGGAGGGUGUGUCGCGGCGCGCGUCCCGGAGCCCGGCAUUCGCUCGCUCGGCGGAGUGGGCAGGAACGCGCGGGGCGCCGGGAGGGCUGGGCGAGCAGCCCAGCCGGAAAGGGUCAGGGAGGGGGCAGCUCAGUCCUCGUCGUCGAGGCGACUCCGGACCAGCGCUCAAAGUUGGGGAGGGGGUGCCUUCGCGAGCGCCGGCGGCCAGCGACAUAAACAAGGCGACGCACGGAGAGCGGGCGGCCGCCCCCACCCAGCCGGCGCGGGCACUGCCGCAGCGCCCCGCGCCCCGACCGGCCGCUGCCCGCCGCGCCGGCCCCCCGGGCCCUCAGGCCCCGGCCCGGCCCCGCGGGCGUGCGGAGCGGGGCAAGUUCCCGGCCGCCCCCGGCCCCGGGCUGCAGCGCCGCGAGGUCCCCGCGCAGCUCACCUCGCCCCGCCGCGAGCAACAGCGCGGGCCGGGCCGCUCCCGCUCGGACAGCUCGGCUCGGCUCAGCUCGGCGCUGCAGCGGCCGCGGCCCCUACCCGCCCACCCGGCGCGGCCCGCCGCUCCGCUCCGCUCCGGCCACCCGCCCGCCGAGGCUGCGUUCGCGCCCACCUGGCCGGCCUCCCUCCCUCUCCGGGACACUGCGCUCACGUACGCGGCUGCGGCCACAACCCGGCCCGGAUUCCCCGCCCGGGAAGGGAGCGCAGGAGCGCGCCAGCCAGCCAGCGAAGGAGCGAGGCUCGGGACACACCCCCGGCGCCCUCCGCCAGCCCCCUCCCCGCCACAGGCGCCGCGCGCGCACGCGGCCGCGCGCCGGCCACGCGCGCCCGCGCCCUCCCCGCGCCCCCACCGCGCGCCCGCGAUACGCACCCCCGGCCGCUCGUAG
rnacentral:lncRNA from 1 species